rnacentral:rRNA from 1 species
UACAGAGGUCUCAACCGUUGUUCGGAUUCAUUGGGCGUAAAGGGUGCGUAGGCGGCGGGGUAAGUCAGGUGUGAAAUCUCGGGGCUCAACCCCGAAACUGCACUUGAUACUGCCUUGCUCGAGUACUGGAGAGGAGAUUGGAAUUUACGGUGUAGCAGUGAAAUGCGUAGAUAUCGUAAGGAAGACCAGUGGCGAAGGCGAAUCUCUGGACAGUUACUGACACUGAGGCACGAAGGCCAGGGGAGCAAACGGG